UACUUUUUAUAUGUUCCUAUUUCAGAAAGGCAAGGUGGUGAACUCAAGAGCGUUGAUAUGCUCCUCCUUGAUGUAAAGACUCGCUGGCCACAAUCAUCUAGAGGUCAAUCAACCUUCAAACUGUCUUCACUCUUCCAACAUAUCUUGCAAGAAGGCUUGGUGUAUGGGUUAAGUGGUUUCAAUGUUGCGAGAAGCAAUCUGAUUUAAGUUUAUCGUGGAAUUCACAGCCACAGCUGAGCCAAGCCCGGAGGAGAGCUUCAGGUUCUGCAAAUACGAAUCUCAUGUCAUUUGCCAGAUAUUGUUGGAGAGAUUAGGGGCAUCAAAACCAUGUAAAACCAAGACACCCAGAGCACUCAACGCCUCAUGGCAGCAAUAAAGCUUGACGAUAGGUAGUUGAUAAUUUCCAGCUUUAAUAAACUGUUGACAUGAUACAUAUAAGUUGGUGGCUUGGUGCUAAGUUUACUUUUGCAUAUUGAGAAUGUUCUUACGUUAUUGUAUAAGUGCAUGUUCACAUAGUAGCACGUUACUUCCGUAAACAUAACAUCAACCUCGGGUCAUGCAUGUUUUGUUAUUUAUUAUAUACGAUUCAGACAGACGUUUAUCAGUUAACUGAUUAAUGAGC